GGAGCAGCAACGAUGUUACGCAGCAGGGCAGUCGCCCUAAAACAAAGUUAAACAUCAUGAGGGAAGCGGUGAUCGCCGA
rfam:Klebsiella pneumoniae IS46, WGS project CBWL01000000 data, contig: c749